AAACAUAUAAACUUAUAAAUAAAAUAUAGAUAAGAAAUAAAGUAAGGAAUUAAAUGAAAUGUAACGUCACAUAAGACAAAAAUAAAUGGUAUCCUGCAACUGUUACAAGGUAGCUGAAACCCAUAUAUUAAUUGAUAUUUGUGUCAUAAAUAUGUAAUUAUUAGGGUUAUUCAAUACAUAUCACGUCAAUAUUUUUCAAUAUAAACAAUAAAAAAUAUAUCGUAUUGUAUACAUAACGAUAAUUAUGUGAUAAACCCAUUAUUAACGUCCCUAAUUAUUGUACAGUACCGACAGAAAUUAUAGAAGGUCGGUAGAUCAACCAUAUUAUUCCACGUUGCUUCAAUAAUUAACACCUCCAAUUAUAAGGGUAUUAUUCUAUUGUACGCAAAUUUCUCAAAUUUUUGAUUUUGGUGACGCCCAUCACAUCAAAGGAAAAAUAUCUUCUAGCUUCGUCGUGCAUAUCCUUAACAGUGUUUUUUUUUUUUUCCAUCAUACUAGAAAUCUUUUCUUUCUUCACUGCUCUGUCCACGUGUUGCCUGCCUCCCUUGUUAGAUUUUCUGAUCAAAUGUUCAUUUUUAAAUAAGGCAGGUAACGUUAGACUGUUGAAAUCCGAUGAAUCAUUCACAUUUUUUCAAAAUAAAAAUAGAAGGAACCAGUCUCUUCGGAGACAUCCGAUCAAUUGAAAGGGACCACAAACAAGAAAGAUUUAAACCCAAAAA
rnacentral:lncRNA from 1 species